GUGAGAAGGAACCGAGAGGACUUCUGCGGGGAGGAACCCAGCUCUGUGUCCCCACCCCCGGAGUCCUGGCCGCAGAGGAGUGUGGAGCUUUAAAUGACCAUAUCCACCACCAAGAUUUAUUGUGAGAGUGAUUGAUGUUAUAAACCAGGAACAGGACUCUUCCCACAGCAGGGAUGACAGAAAUAUCAAGUUGAAGUUGCCUUUGUCCUCCUGCACAACUGACCCGAUAAGCAAGAAUUAAGUCCACUUACCCUACGGUGAUACAGUUAGGCUGAGAAGGGCUCGUGGGUUGAUAAUGAACUUCGGGGUGUU